GUGAGCGGCACUUGGCGGGCGAGGCGGAGUUAAGGAUGCGAAGAGCGGGAGGUUAUCGGGGUAACCUGGCCCUGGAAUCUCUGAGUCAGGCCCCCGGGAGCUGUGCGCCUUUGUGAGCGGGGCGGCUGCCCACGUGCUGCGUGCCCUACACCCACGGCGGGCCAGGCCCCCCAAAAGGAGACCCAACCACAGGCGGUUCCUACACAACCAGAUCUGCAGGCAGUUUGCCAAGAUCGAAGCUGCCACCCAGCGCCUGGCCAUGUCCAUCCUGUCCCAGGAGGCGCCUCCCCAGAGACCGCCGC